CUUAAGAUCAGUGGUAGCAUGUGAUAGCUGCCUUUCAUUUCGUAUGUGGCUUCAAGAUAAUUAGUUCGCCUCCUCUCGAGGAAUGUAGUAUUUCUCGUAGUGGACUUGAGUUUCAAAACAGUCUGAACGGGCAUAUGCCUGUAGGCUGUGCUCUCUUAAGGAACUUGUUACGGAGAAGGUUAUAAAUUAAUAUCCUCCUGUAGGGCCCAAUUCCUGGAAACACAGCUGUCAAAUGAAGAGGUCAAGGUGGAAAAAACCUAGACACACCAUUCCAUCUUCAUUAUCUUGAUGCCCAAACAUGCUUGACCUAAAGCUAGAGUUUAAUCAGGAGCGUCUCAGUCAGCAGUGUCACUGAUGGGUGUUGAGUGGCUUGGUGUAACAUGUGGAUGAUUAUGUAAUAGAGACGCGAUCGCUGCCUGUGAAUAGUCAAACACGGCAACUACUAUGACGCUUGUCCCACAACUGCAGAGGCUGCCAGGUUGGCAAAACAAGAUCAUGUAAGAAACCCAAGGCAUUCAUCUUGCUCCAAAUGCAAAUCUGAAUUUAAACUGAAACUUCAUCAUGUUUUACUUGGCAACUUCUGUACCCUGAGUAACAACGUUUGUAAAGUUAGUUACACUGAUGUAAGAUUUUGUUUUUUACUAUUUGUUGGAAUGACUAAUUUCUCAUGUACUUUCCACAAUGAGAAAAACAGGCCUUCUACAUGUUAUAUUUAUCAGUGCUUGAUAUAACUAGAAUCUAAAACGAAUCAUGUGAGAAUCUUUCAAAGAGUUGUGUAAGAAUGCGUCUUGUGCAGGGUCAGGAUCAUUUUCUUCUGGGCCGCUGCGAGCUUCAUUAUAGUCACUGUGUGUAAACUGGUAACAUGGUUUCAACAGAGGUUACUGGAUCUCCGGCUUCAUUUGGUUCUUUCAAUAAGUCCUGAGGUUGACUAAACUUGCACUAAUUUAAAAUUAUUCUCUAAUGGAAACUUAGUGGUUAAAACACUGGAAUUCUAAUUGAAAAUCCCAGCACCACCCUUAACCCUUAACUGAAAGAGUAUAAUCUAUAUAAUUGUGAGUCACUCUGAAUAAGGGCGUAAAUCCCGUACACCCUCAGCAAAGCUCAUUCUUUAGCAUUUGGUUGUGCGGAUGAAGACCAUUAAUACCCCGCCAUUUCCACUUAACACAGGUCUAACACAGGUUAACCACAAGUUCAGUCAGAACCGUUAGGAGUACAGGACCAGGAUUAAAAAUAAUGAAAAUAUAUAUGAAUCAAGUAUUGUUUGAGUGGUUUAGCAGCCAAAGAUCAUGAGCAACUGAAUAAGUGUUCAAGAGGGCAUGAAAAAGAAUAAAUUCUACAUGUGUGUUUACUUUCUGUUUCAACAGCUACUAAUCCUCUACAUUUUAUUGCAGACUGUUAUGUCUUUUCAGGUGUAAACUAGCUCUCAGGCCUGCUGUAACCUGUCAACUGGUAUACACUCAGAUAGGUAAACGAAAACAAAAAAAGUGUUAAAACCACAAACAGUUUAGCAUUCGCAGAGCCCUAAGGACAAAUUCAAAGUUAAAGGUCAAGCAUGAUAGUUAUAAACUUCAGCUGUUAUAUAAAUACGUUACUCCCUCUACUGGCUGUUGAAUGCAAAUGCUUUUUAGUGAACAUUACACAGUACAUUUUAAAAAUAAGAACGAAAACCUGGAAUGAAAAUGCAAAACUUUUAACGUACAGUUACAAUACAUAAACAUUUUAUUGGCAAUGCCCUUUGCAUACUUCAGAUAAAAAUGUAAAAAACAAUACUGCAUAACCUGGUCGACAUAAUUUUGUUGAAUAUGCUGACACCAAUAUCUGUGAACAUAGAUUUUCUUUAUUUCAGUCUUAUUUAUUUCCAAAUAACAAAAAGAAAAUACACAUUCUUGCACCUCAUGAUGAGUUCAAUUUAACAGAAAAAUCAAUGGCUCUUGAAUGCUAUUUUGUUACGUAAUGUAUACCACAUUGUAGUAUAAGCAGAUAAGAAAUACUAAUAUUCUGAUCGUAGUAAUUUAACGAAAUGAUAAAAGAUCAGUACUGACCACAGGAAACGCAAAAGGAAGAUAAAGACACAUCCAGGGUGUAAUCCUGCUUGGCACCUAGUGGUCCCUAAGAUGGGUCUUAGAUUCAUUGCGAAUUAAUUGCAAUUACUUUCAUAAAAUAGUUGCAGGUGCUGAGCGAAUGAACGAUCAUUGAUAUGUGAUACGAUACCUUUUUAGUGUGUGUGAAGGGGUGAUUCUAAAAAUCCACUCUUAUUCAGUAGUUUGUAAAUGCACUGGAUGAGGAGGAAAUUAAACUGUGAUAAAAUACACGGCUAAUUCAAGUUUAGGUGUAAAUAUAUAUCUUUAUAUCCUUAUUUAUAUAAAAUACUGUCUCAUUAAAAGCAGAUUUACUUUGUACAAAUAUUGCAUAAGCAUAAAAGCUAGAUAAACUGUGAACGAGUGAUUGUUGGUGUGAGUGAAUGAAUGAAUAAACACGUGCCAAAGAUUUUGAAAAAAAUAAAAAAUCAUUACUAUAUAAAGUACCGCUUAAGGUUUUAGACUAAAAAGGUGUUUUACACAAUAUACACAUUUUAUUACGUACAAAACAAACACAAAAAAUAGUCUGUAGUUAUUGAUUCUUGGAUACAGCAGUGUUAGUACCACCAAGAAGUGGGAGAAAAAGGAGUGAUGAAAAAAAAAAUGAAAGCAUUAAAAAAAAUAAUAAAGCAGUCUCACUAAUGUAACUAUUCAGUGCAUUUUUCUCAUUGAUGUUCAAAGUGCCGAUUUGGUAACAUAGAGAGAAUUUCAGUACUUUGCAAAGGACUUCUCUCAAACAAUGUGUUACUUGCAUACCACCAACAAUUCUAUGAGAAAAAAAUCUUUUAAACAAAACAAAAAAAAGGAGGGGAAAAAAUGCACUUUUGUUGAUAAUUUAUCCAUCAUGGCACCAUGGUUGAUUUUUCUGUCUCCGUAUGAGGUACUUCUUUAAAACAAAAAACAAAAAAAACCCAAAAAAAGAUAAA